CAAAAACAUCGCCUCUUGCAUCAAUAUAAGAGGUCCAGCCUGCCCAGUGACCCAGUUCAACGGCCGCGGUAUCCUAACCGUGCGAAGGUAGCGUAAUCACUUGUUCUUUAAAUGAGGACUAGUAUGAAUGGCACCACGAAGGUUACGCUGUCUCCUUUUUCUAAUCAAUGAAACUAAUCUCCCCGUGAAGAAGCGGGGAUUUAAAUAUAAGACGAGAAGACCCUAUGGAGCUUCAAACUAUAUAGCAUUGGCUUUUAUCCACUUAUACCCCCCCGGGUUCUCAUACUAACUCUAGCCUUUUAACUAUUAGUUUUGGGUUGGGGUGACCACGGAGCAAAAAUUAUCCUCCAUGAUGAACAGAGCUACUCUUGAACCAAAAGCUACAACUUUAAGCACCAAUAAACUGACACAGUUGACCCAAUAUUUUGAGCAACGAACCAAGUUACCCUAGGGAUAACAGCGCAAUCCACCCCAAGAGCCCCUAUCGACAGGUGGGUUUACGACCUCGAUGUUGGAUCAGGGUAUCCCAGUGGUGCAGCCGC
rnacentral:rRNA from 1 species